rnacentral:tRNA from 1 species
GGCGAGGUGGCCGAGUGGUCUAAGGCGACACGUUUAGGCCGUGUUCCACUUCGUGGGCGUGGGUUCGAAUCCCACCCUCGUCA